UUGCAUCAUCAAGCGGUGACGCGCACAGUGAACAUGCACACCGCACCUCCACUUAAAGCCUAAGUAAACUGAGAGAAACAGAAGAUUUUCACGCUAAAGUGAUUAAUGAGCACACACACACACACACACACACACACUUUGGGUUUGGAACUAAUCUGCGAGGUUGUUCUUGUUGCCGCCAACAACUUUGACAAGAUUGUUGCAGGCCAGCCCAGCCCAGCAGGACCGUUUCCUCUGUUUUCAACCACUUCUAAGCAGAACAUUUGGUGCCAAUAGGACGCAAAGUUUCUUCUUUUUGAAACACCACACCGUCGACACCUUGUUUGUUGACAUUGUGAGCUAAGGAGAGGUUUACAGCAAGCUGAGCCCAGCUGCUUGAGGUAU